AGAUUGAACGCUGGCGGCAGGCCUAACACAUGCAAGUCGAGCGGAUGAGAGGAGCUUGCUCCUUGAUUUAGCGGCGGACGGGUGAGUAAUGCCUAGGAAUCUUCCUGGUAGUGGGGGAUAACGUUCCGAAAGGAACGCUAAUACCGCGUACGUCCUACGGGAGAAAGCAGGGGACCUUCGGGCCUUGCGCUAUCAGAUGAGCCUAGGUCGGAUUAGCUAGUUGGUGAGGUAAUGGCUCACCAAGGCGACGAUCCGUAACUGGUCUGAGAGGAUGAUCAGUCACACUGGAACUGAGACACGGUCCAGACUCCUACGGGAGGCAGCAGUGGGGAAUAUUGGACAAUGGGCGAAAGCCUGAUCCAGCCAUGCCGCGUGUGUGAAGAAGGUCUUCGGAUUGUAAAGCACUUUAAGUUGGGAGGAAGAGCAGUAAGUGAAUACCUUGCUGUUUUUGACGGUUUACCGACAGAAUAAGGCACCCGGCUAACUUUUGUGGCCAGCAGCCGCGGUUUAAUACGAAGGGGUGCAAGUCACGUUAAUCGGAAUUACUGGGCGUAAAGCCGCGCCGUAGGCUGGUUCGUUAAGUUGGAUGUGAAAGACCCCCGGGGUCUCAACCUUGGGAACUGCAUCCCAAAACUGGCGAGGCUAUAGAUUACGGUAGAGGGGUUGGUGGAAUUUUCCUGUGUAGCGGUGAAAUGCGUAGAUAUUGGAAGGAACACCCAGUGGCGAAGGCGACCACCUUGGACUGAUACUGACAACUGAGGUGCGAAAGCCUGGGGAGCAAACAGGAUUAGAUACCCUGGUUUGUCCACGCCGUAAACGAUGUCAACUAGCCGUUGGAAUCCCCUGAGAUUUUAGUGGCGCAGCUAACGCAUUAAGUUGACCGCCUGGGGAGUACGGCCGCAAGGUUAAAACUCAAAUGAAUUGACGGGGGCCCGCACAAGCGGUGGAGCAUGUGGUUUAAUUCGAAGCAACGCGAAGAACCUUACCUGGCCUUGACAUGCUGAGAACUUUUCAGAGAUGGAUUGGUGCCUUCGGGAACUCAGACACACGGUGCUGCAUGGCUGUCGUCAGCUCGUGUCGUGAGAUGUUGGGUUAAGUCCCGUAACGAGCGCAA
rnacentral:rRNA from 1 species